AUUGAACGCUGGCGGCAGGCCUAACACAUGCAAGUCGAGCGAGCGGCGGACGGGUGAGUAAUGUAUGGGGACUGCCCGAUAGAGGGGGAUAAAUACUGGAAACGGUAGCUAAUACCGCAUACUAUCGGAUAACCCAUAUGGGCUUAGCUAGUAGGUGAGGUAAUGGCUCACCUAGGCGACGAUUCCUAGCUUGUGUGGGCGGAUGAUCAGCCACACUGGGACUGAGACACGGCCCAGACUCCUACGGAGGCAGCAGUGGGGAUUAUUGCACAAUGUGAGGAAGUCUGAUACAGACCUGCCGCGUGGAGUAAGAAGUCCAUAGGGUAGUAAAGUAAUUUUAGUCUGGAGGCGUUAUUGUCAGAAGAAGCACCGGCUAACUCCGUGCCAGCAGCCGCGGUAAUUC
rnacentral:rRNA from 1 species